CAGUCGCCGCGGGAAUACGGAGGGUGCAAGCGUUAAUCGGAAUUACUGGGCGUAAAGCGCGCGUAGGUGGUUUGUUAAGUUGGAUGUGAAAUCCCCGGGCUCAACCUGGGAACUGCAUCCAAAACUGGCAAGCUAGAGUAUGGUAGAGGGUGGUGGAAUUUCCUGUGUAGCGGUGAAAUGCGUAGAUAUAGGAAGGAACACCAGUGGCGAAGGCGACCACCUGGACUGAUACUGACACUGAGGUGCGAAAGCGUGGGGAGCAAACAGGAUUAGAUACCCCAGUAGUCCCUGUCUCUUAUAA
rnacentral:rRNA from 1 species